GGCACAUACACCUCCUGGCAUGCACUGAGACCAACUCCCAGCUUGGGGAUACCCAGAUUGUCCUUGGAGGAGAGGAGGUAACACAAGCCAAUAUCCUGAAUCCCAGGCUUGUGACCAGCCACCAAACCGGUACCCAAAGGACAGGAGUGGUCCAAGCAGCAGUAGCAAAUGUCAUCUCCCACUAAACCUGCCCAGAGGAAAAUGGAGAAGUAUACUCAAAGAUGGUGUUUGCCUACCUCACAGUGCAAAGCAAAGUCUCAGUGACAUGACUCCACAUUUUUAUUUUGCACUUCAGAUUGUCUCAAAUAUUUCCAGUGGAUGGUAAAUGCUGUCUUCUGUAACAAGUUCUCCUGAAGCCUUACUUGAUCAUGAUUACAAGGUAAAUCUCAUAAUCAGAGACUCUUCUAAAUGCUGAAGGAUUGCUGGGGUUCAGAAGGAUCUAUCUCAGCUUAUAUGUAACUCAAUUUCAAACGAGGAUCAAUAUUCUUCAUAAAUAUCCUAAAACUUACUCCGGUCAGUGGAUAAAACUUUUCUAGAGAAGAAAGUAUACUUUUGUUGUUAUAGAAUUUGAAAAAGAACAUGAACUUAGAAGGGUUUCAGUCUCCUUUUGAGAGGGAAGUUCUUUAGAAGUUAUGGAAAAUAGACUUUCUUGAAAAUACAUUUCUAUACAAAAGGAACGUCAAGUAUUUCUGAAAAUGUGAGAAUAGAGAAAGAGAACAUUUUCCCAGAGCUGCAAAUCACUGGAGGCUGCCUUCCAGGAGAAGAAACUU
ensembl:lncRNA